rnacentral:rRNA from 1 species
AUUAUGGCUCAGGAUGAACGCUGGCGGCGUGCCUAAUACAUGCAAGUCGAGCGAGAAUCUUUCAGACGAUUCUUCGGAUGAGUCAGGAAGAUGGAAAGCGGCGGACGGGUGAGUAACGCGUAGGCAACCUGCCCUCAGCAGAGGGAUAGCCAUUGGAAACGAUGAUUAAAACCUCAUAAUGCUGUUUUAACACAUGUUGAGACAGCCAAAGAUUUAUCGGCUGGGGAUGGGCCUGCGUCUGAUUAACUGGUUGGUGAGGUAACGGCUCACCAAGGUGACGAUCAGUAGCCGACCUGAGAGGGUGAUCGGCCACAUUGGAACUGAGACACGGUCCAAACUUCUACGGAAGGCAGCAGUAAGGAAUCUUGCACAAUGGGGGAAACCCUGAUGCCAGCAACGCCGCGUGAACGAUGAAGGCCUUAGGGUUGUAAAGUUCUGAUCUGUGGGAAGAAGGAAGUGACGGUACCACAGGAGAAAGCCCCGGCUAAAUACGUGCCAGCAGCUGC